UGGGGAAAAAAAUUGACUUUGACUAGAUUUAAGCUCUAUUAGGCUAAUCGAUCACGUGAUUUCCAUGGGAAAUAGUUUUUAAAGAAAAGAAACGACAUCGCCUCCAAGGCUCACGAAUGACGUCUUUAGGUAAUAAUCAUGCCACCAUGCGUAUCUUAUUAGGAAGGCUUCAAAAACAAAACCCAGGAUUAAAGGAAUAACAACUCUUGAUUAUCUACUCCCGUCCUAAUCUCCCAUACCACCAAGAAUGGCAUCUUGUCUUGUCUUGCCUCUCGUAUAAACCGACUACUGAUAAGAAUUAUGAAUAUCAGCAAUGCCACCGAGGAACAUAUAUGCCAUUCCAUUGUAGACGUUGGUAGCCAUAAACAAAUAAUUUUGACAUCGGAAUGGGUAUUGUAUUGCUUGCUAACUCCACUCAUCAUCAUCGUAGGGUUCCUGGGAAACGCUUGUAUCAUAUAUGUAUUGACUAAAGGAUACAGGGUUUCUACAACCGCGCCCUCGAUUAAGCAGUUGCCCAAAGCUUACACCUACAUAAAAUUAAUAGCAAUAUUUGAUCUCUUGUCUUGCAUUAUGGCGAUACCGUGGCCUAUAUUAUAUUAUUGGGGGAAGAAGCAUGACAUUUGGUUUUCGAAUGACAAGGAAUUUGAUUCCUAUAUUCCUUAUUAUUACCAACGUUUCCCAUACGUUUCAUUUCUGUCGGUGGUAGAAUUCCCUUUAAAAUUUACUUUCUCAAAAACUUCCGACAUAUUGAUU